UGCACUUUAAGAGUAAAUUGCACUUUCAUUUAUAUGAAAAUUUUUUCAUCACCAUUCUUUAUAUAGUUUUUAUAAUAUCCAUUCAUCCAUCCAUGCUCGGUACUCCUUAUCCUCAUUAGGGUCACGGGAGAGCAUCAGCCAGGUGAGGGCCGAGCCGAGCAGGAGUCCGGAGAUGAUGAGCACCGCGAUUAGCCAUACCGGAACGUGUACACUGUUGAUCUUUGUGAAGAUGAGACGCCUGAAGGUUUUGUGCUAACACUGAUUGCUAUUUGCAACUGUUCAUAAUUCCCUCCACCUUGACUAAGGCUCUAGUUCCCGCUGAAGAAAAAAGCCACAAAGCAUGGUAUGGUAUUCUGUUGGUGAUGAGCAGUGUCGUAUUUGCGCCAAGCAUACUUUUUGGAACGUGUCUGAAAAAGCCUACUAGAACACCUCAAUUUUAUUUAUUUGGGGUUCAUCAGAGGCACGUUAAAUAAUGGCAGGUGUCUACUCACUUGCUGAACACAGCAACACUACCAGUUAAAAGAGGGUGUGCACACUUGUGCAACCACAUUAUCUCUGGUGUUUAUUUUUACUU